CACCCCGCCCCCCAAAUUCCGGUUUUCGGCCAGGGGUGGAUGGGGAAGAGGUGGAAGCAAAGGCUGUGCAGACAAUGGAGAGAGGAAAAACUAGGUCGCAUCCUAAAGUUUCUCACAAGCUUAAAAAAGAAAAACGAAAAAUUGACAACUCUUACACAGAAGAGUCCACAAAAGCUGCAGCAGCGCCAGGGGUGAAGAAACAGCGACAGACCCAGGGCUCAUUCUAGGCCCCACAACUCCCAAACAGGAAGCCGUAAGUGUGGACAACCUUAGCACAACUACAGAGUGACACUAAAGGCCAUCAAGACUUAGUCACUAAGGAGAAAAGAGGCACUUCAGCAGCCUUGGCUUCAUUCUUUGGAUCCCUAAGGGAGGAGACCUAAGUGACUACCCCCACUGUCUCUCUUCCUGGCUUUAAAAAAAUAAACUGUCAUCCACUCAUAUGAAGGAAUGUUAUACAGCAAGGAAAAGCACAAACUUCUCUACAACAGGCAUGUAGAAAAGUGCACAUCAUAAGUUUAUAGCUAGGUGAAUAACCCAUGUCACCAGUGUCCAUAUUAAGAAAUGGAAAAUUACUGGCAAUCCAGAAACCACAUCCCAUUCUCCAUUCUCUGCCAAUUACUACUCCCACCAUCUUUCCCAGAGAUAACCACU